GAGAUGAGAUUUCCCAACUUCGGUUAUAAGAUCCCUCAAAGAUGAUGAGGUGAAUAGGUUCGAGGUGGAAGCGUAGCGAUACGUGGAGCUGACGAAUACUAAUCGAUCGAAGACUUAAUCAA
rnacentral:rRNA from 1 species